rnacentral:rRNA from 2 species
CGCCGGUGACGUUGUGAGAAGUUCAUUAAACCUUAUCAUUUAGAGGAAGGAGAAGUCGUAACAAGGUUUCCGUAGGUGAACCUGCGGAAGGAUCAUUG